AAGAAAAAUGUUUUGGGCUUGUGCCAGGUCAACAUUUGAAGCUCAACUCAGGAGGAACUUGGACAAAUUAGCACUGUUAGGUGAAGGUAUUUCUAACAGCUUAGCAAGCUUUAAUCCUGAAAGAUGGUCUAAAGCAAUGUUCAAGACAACUUCAAAAUGUGACAAUGUGGAUAACAAUAUGGUGGAAAGCUUCAAUGCUUGGGUGUUGGGUGCUAGGCACAAGACUAUCAUCAGUAUGCCUGAAGAGAUUAGGACAAAGGUAAUGAAUAGGUUCACCAAGGUGGUAGCAUUUGCGGAUAGCUGGACCUAUGACAUAUCCCCAAUGGUAAUGUCGAUAUUAAAUACAAAUGUGGAGAUGUCGAUGAGGGUGGAAAUUAAGUGGGAUGGUGACAUUGGAUAUGAAGUGAAGGAUGGUCGAUAUAAACGUGUGGUUAACCUAAUUCAGGGAACUUGUACUUGCAGAAUUUGGGCACUUAAAGGGAUUCCUUGUGCACAUGCAAUAGCGUACCAUGCAUCACGAUGAAGCCAAUCCCCUUGAUGCAGUUUAUACAUGGUACAAAAAAGAGACCUACUUGAGAGCUUAUGGAAAUUUCUUACAACCAAUAACCAAUAUGGAGAUGUGGCCUGAGAUAUCAAAUCCAAAAGUUGAGCCACCUCCUGUUAGGAAAAUGCUCGGAAGGCCUUCAAAAAAAGAGAAAGAAGGAGCUUGGAGAGGUAUCAAGUUGUGGAAAGCUUUCAAAGAAGGGAAAAAUCAUAAAGGUGCUCAGUUUGUAAGUCAACAAAUCACAAUAUAAGAACAUGUCCAAACAAACCUCCCGCUACUUCAAAGGGAGUAGCUACAUCACAAGCAUCCACCAGUGGAAAAAAAUCAAGGGCGCACAUAGAAAAAAAUGCUACAAGUAAGGGUGGUAAAGGAAGUCCCAAGCAACAAUCUCAUUCGUCUCAGCCCUCUCAAGUAGUGCAACAAUCUCAAUCCUCUCAAUCAUCUCAAGCAAUAGUGGAAAGUGGCAGUGGUAGUGGAAGUACAAAAGGUGCAAGCAAUACAUUUAAGAGGCCAAGAGUAGUGGGCCAUGGCGUGUUUGUGAGCAAAAGCGGCUUUACUUGUGCUGAGGACGACCGACUAGUAGGGUAAUCAAAAGUGGAGCACAAGAGAAAUUGAUAAGUUCAGUCAGGUAUUUGGUGAUCUUGGUUAUGCACCAAGUAAAGGUCUCAAAUGGAAUGGAAAAAAGGCUAUCACAGGAAGGCAACUUCAACAUAAAAGUGCAUCACUUAGGUAUAUGAAAACCAAGUCACAAGCUUCAUCACAAAGUGCAACAAAAGCUGGAGGUGUUUAGGAAAGACAUGACUGAUUUUUGUUGCGGUUUGAACUACUUUAACUGGAGGUGUUUAGGAAAGACGAGACUGAUUUUUUGUUGUGGUUCAAACUAUUUCUACGUUGUGUAUUUUGAUGGUGAA